UGAGUAAGGACAGAGAGAGAGGUGAGUAAGGACAGAGAGAGAGGUGAGUAAGGACAGAGAGAGAGGUGAGUAAGGACAGAGAGAGAGGUGAGUAAGGACAGAGAGAGAGGUGAGUAAGGACAGAGAGAGAGGUGAGUAAGGACAGAGAGAGAGGUGAGUAAGGACAGAGAGAGAGGUGAGUAAGGACAGAGAGAGAGGUGAGUAAGGACAGAGAGAGAGGUGAGUAAGGACAGAGAGAGAGGUGAGUAAGGACAGAGAGAGAGGUGAGUAAGGACAGAGAGAGAGGUGAGUAAGGACAGAGAGAGAGGUGAGUAAGGACAGAGAGAGAGGUGAGUAAGGACAGAGAGAGAGGUGAGUAAGAACAGAGAGACAGAGACAGAGAGAGAGGUGAGUAAGGACAUAGAGACAGAGAGAGAGAGGUGAGUAAGGACAGAGAGAGAGGUGUAUAAGAACAGAAAGUCAUUCCUUGAUAUGCAUGAAUACAUUUAAUAUAAUAUUGAAAACAUGAAUAUAUUCAAGUUAAAAAUAAAUAAAAAAUUCUAGAAGUGAUAAAUGUAAAACUGAGAUGUGUACUACUUGUAGUAAUAUGAAGCAAUGUUAAACGU